AUGUCAGCCACCCCUCGUCUGGCUAGCCAGAUUGCAGCUUUCCGAGAGGUGGUACAGGACUGUGAACUCCAUGACCUUGGUUUCUCUGGUGUUCCAUUCACUUACGACAAUAAGAGAAGAGGAACAGCAAACGUAAAGGUCAGACUGGAUCGGGCUCUAGCUGAUGAUCGAUGGAGAGAUAUCUUCUCGGAUGCGAGCGUGGUACACCUGGUUUCCCCCUACUCGGACCAUUUGCCACUCUUAAUCCACCUACAAAAGGAGGAGCUCUUGCCAAAACGCCGACGUACCAGCCAGUACGAAAUAUUUUGGGAGCGUGCUGGCGAACUCCCAGAAUUAAUACAGAGGGCGUGGGAUGCAACAAAGACCAGCGGCAACCUGGCGUUGGUCACUGCAGGGCUGAGCCAGGUGAUGGAGAAUCUGCAGGGCUGGAGCAAACGAAAAUUUGGGAAUAUUUUGCGAGAGCUUGAUAGCACUCGUAGGAAACUUGACCAGUUGUUGCAAACCAAUGGAGAUCAGCUGGAGAUUAGAAGACUCUCUGAUAGCAUGAACGAACUGCUAUAUAAAGAAGAGCUCCUU
rnacentral:rRNA from 1 species